AACAAUUACUUUGGUGUUUUGCAGCUCUAUUUCGUUCCCUAACGGUAACCAAAUCUAGAUGUAGGUAUCUGUUGAGCAGGAGAGUGACACAUGUCUUCCCGAAGGCUGUCCAGGCUGCAGUGGUGAUGAAGAAGACACGAUCAUCACCCCGAGAUCGAUUGUAGCGAAUUGGAAAACCCAUGGUGAAUUUGCUUCCACUCCAAGGCAAUGUCGAGACCAGAAUGCUUCGCUAUCAACUCCUGGCUUUCCAUCGGCAUGGUGUUCAGCUGCAGCGGCAUCUGGUCCGGGGAGUUGAAGUUGCUGGAUGGCUGCACUGACACAGGAUGGGUUUGCGUUGGCAAUGCAAUACGGCAGUCAUUCCACAUCAUGAGCUACAUGUUUAUGUAAUUUAUAUUGUCGCUCGUCCAGCAACGUCAAGGCUCUGCAUGUAAACACAGGAGAACACCAUAAUAAAAAAUACUACUCAUACUCAGGGGAUAAUAUAUUUGGAUUAGUAAUUUCGUGCCAUUUAUGGGUUCCUGUCUAAACCAUGCUGUGAUAUUGAUUUCUACCUGCUCACAAAGUACCUUGUAUUGUAACAAUGCUCUGCCUAAUCACUACCCUCCGCCAAUUAUUAGAUUCACACAAUAUUCACAACGUAUGCAACACAAUCCUGUCUAUUUACACUACUUCGAACUGAAAUGCUCACUCACUCUUCUCCCGUUUUCAGCUCCCUCUACCUUAUGAAUACUCUACAUUACUGGUUUCGUUUCUACCCUUUCCAUUGCUGCCAGCUCCCAGUCUUUUUCAAUGCACAGCACCACCUUGAAAUUUUUGUGAUUUGAUGUACACAUACUUUGAAGUUGAAAUUCGAACUACAUGA